AGGACGAACGCUUGCGACGUGCCUAAGAAAUGCAAGUCGAACGGAAUUACCUUCGGGUAGUUUAGUGGCGAACGGUCGCGUAACACGUGGGCAACCUGCCCUGAAGCGGGGGACAACAACUCGAAAGAGUUGCUAAUACCGCAUGUGUAUCGGAAUGGCAUCAUUCAGGAUACAAAGGACUUCGGUUCACUUCAGGAUGGGCCCGCGGCCUAUCAGCUAGUUGGUAAGGUAAUGGCUUACCAAGGUUUCGACGGGUAGCUGGUCUGAGAGGACGAUCAGCCGGAUUGGGACUGAGAUACGGCCCAGACUCCUACGGGGGGCAGCAAUUAGGAAUCUUGCACAAUGGGGGAAACCCUGAUGCAGCGACGUCGCGUGGAGGAUGGAAUCUUUCGGGAUGUAAACUCCUUUUUCCGGGGAAGAAACAAUGACGGUACCCGGUGAAUAAGCCCCGGCUAACUACGUGCCAGCAGCCGC
rnacentral:rRNA from 1 species